GCUGGGUGUGGUGGCGCACACCUGUAAUCCCAGCUACUUGGGAGGCUGAGGCAGGAGAAUCACUUGAACCCAGGAGAUAAAAGUCGCAGUGAGCCGAGGUUGUGCCAGCGCACUCCAGCCUGGGUGACAGAAUGAGACUCUGCCUCAA
rnacentral:SRP_RNA from 1 species